rnacentral:rRNA from 1 species
GAUGAACGCUGGCGGCGUGCCUAAUACAUGCAAGUCGAGCGAACGGACGAGAAGCUUGCUUCUCUGAUGUUAGCGGCGGACGGGUGAGUAGCACGUGGAUAACCUACCUAUAAGACUGGGAUAACUUCGGGAAACCGUAGCUAAUACCGGAUAAUAUUUUGAACCGCAUGGUUCAACAGUGAACGCCGGUCUUGCUGUCACUUAUUGAUGGAUCCGCGCUGCAUUAGCUAGUUGGUAAGGUAACGGCUUACCAAGGCAACGAUGCAUAGCCGACCUGAGAGGGUGAUCAGCCACACUGGAACUGAGACACGGUCCAGACUCCUACGGGAGGCAGCAGUAGGGAAUCUUCGGCAAAGGGCGAAAGCCUGACGGAGCAACGCCGCGUGAGUGAUGAAGGUCUUCGGAUCGUAAAACUCUGUUAUUAGGGAAGAACAUAUGUGUAAGAAACUGUGCACAUCUUGACGGUACCUAAUCAGAAAGCCACGGCUAACUACGUG